GAGGCAGGCUGGAUGACUACCCCGAGCAUAGUCGAGGGGAGGAAAGUCCGGGCUCCACAGAGCGGCGUGGUUGCUAACGGCAACCGAGAGAAAUCUUAGGGAAAGUGCAACAGAAAAUACACAGCCGAAUCCGCCCUAAAGGCGAGAUGGCAAUGGUGAAAACGGGAGGUAAGAGCUCCCGACGGACUGACCGGAGACGGUCGCGUUGUAAACCCCACGCGGAGCAAGGUCAAAUAGGGAGAUGGACGGCUCGUCCGCUAGCAUCCCGAGUAGACCGCAUAGAUAGAUGGUCAUCUUAAAUGACAGAACCCGGCUUACAGGCCUGCCUCGCUU
rnacentral:RNase_P_RNA from 5 species